GGGGGGCUCUGACACUCAGACCACUUAAUUGAGCUGAAGUGGUCUGGGUGCCUAUAGUGGUCCUUUAAGCUUGUUGUUUUUGGAGACUACAGUGUCCCUUUACCUACUUUCAAUCAGUUUGACAGAAAAAGUCCAACCCCUCUGCUAUGUGCCAGAACUAUUAAAAUACACAUUGUAAUGACCAAAUCAUUAUAUACUACUAUCCACUCUUUACUUUAUUACAUAGGACAAUCACAUUCAUAUUGUAGCAAGUCGUUUAAGAGGCAGCAUAAAUGACAGCACUGAUUGAA